rnacentral:lncRNA from 1 species
CAUCACAUAGGCCUAUACAUGGCCAAGGGAAGGGGAGCCAAGGUAGUAUCAGAAGUGUCAUUUGGUAUGCCGAAGGAGGCAUGAUCCACCAUGAAAUAUUGUCAUUGCCGGUACUCAAGGUCUCAUAUUUGUGGAGUCUCCCCGCAUUUAAAUAGUAAAUAAACUGUUUCCUAUUUAUUUAUUUAUCUAUAGGUUGCUGAAAUAUAUCAAACCUCUUCUGCAUAUGCAGUGGCAUUCCCGAGCUGUGGAAUGGUCAGAGUAGAAUUUGGAUGUGUAUAUAAGAAAUUGGUUACGCUGCCAAUAAAUUUUAUACAAGACUGUGCUUCUUGAUUCAGAUUCACCAAAUGAUGUUGUGAGUUGUGGGUCUAUGCCAUAAUUUACAGUAAAAUGCUAGAAUUUCUGGUAUUGUUAUCCAAGGUUUAGGCAGUUUUUGGAUAUGACAUUAUUUCCAGUGAUUUAAUUUUUGCAAAUUAUUGGCUUCUGAUUGAAUAUAUUUCUCAACCUUGAAGACUUCCCUGAUCUAGAUCACAGAAAGAAACCUUUGAUCUUGCACUAGCUUUUAUUUAUGGUUUUCCUGUAUCAAAACUGUGAUUAUUAAUGUUAAGCACGUUAUGCUAGAAUGAUGUCUUGAAUUUGUCUGUUACAUUACUCAUUAGUAAUUGGAAUAUGAUAUCAGCGCAAAACUUUAUAGUUACUCGAGAAAAAAUAGAGAACAGUUAAUUAUUUCCAUGAUGAUUCCAGUUCAUAGUUUCAAUCUUCAGACAUUUAACUGAAAGGAGUGCAAUAAAAAUGCAGCAAAGAUGUCAAUUGAUCUGGUUUAAUUAAAAUAAAAAAUACAAGUUAAUAUAAGAAUAGCCAAAAUACUCCUGUGCCAUCGUAGGUAGAAAUUUGAUACAUGUAUAGUUCACUAAAAACAUACAUUUGCCCAAUUCAAAAACAGAAGGCAAAAAUAAAAAAGUACCUUUAGCUACAUGCCCAUAUGCCUCCAACAGGAAACAAAAUAAAGAAAUCCUCUUGCAGAAACAAAAAGUGAACAAAAAAGGAACAAUUUACAUAGGAAGUCCAGCUUUCAUAUGAUGGUAUUUUCGAUGCAGUGAAGGGUUCAUGCAGGAGAAGAUUGAGGGCUUCUGUUUCUUUGGUUUAACCCCAAAAAUAAAUGACUGUAAAGGAACUCGCCCCCGGCUUGUUGAGUGUGUCAGCUGGAUAUGAUUAUUGUUCUUUGACCCAGCAAGUCCAAAUUCUUCAUUCAACUUUGUCAAAGUCUUCUCGACUUUGGUUUGGAGUCCUCUUACAUGAUCUAAACCUGCUUGCAGUUCACCUGCAACCUUGUUGUUCUCCUGUUGCAUGUUCAUGACCUCACCUUGCAACUUUGCUGCUUGAUAACUAGUAAACUUGAUUUCUUCAUCUCCAGGACCUUCCUUCAAAGUUCUUGAUAUAUCUUCUUGAAUGUUGCACAAAGAUGAAAAUCUUUGUUGCAAUUCCUCUUUCAGUAAUGCAUUUUGCUCCAGCCAGACUGAUAGUUCAGUCUGUAUCUCUCUUAGGUGUUUGUAAAUUGGCCGGGCAUCUGAUUUCACAGAGGGGUCUAUAGAAGCACUUCCAUCCUGUUUCUUCUUUACUUUUUCCUUAAGUUUUGAUAUUUCAGUCUGUAAAUCCUCCACUUCAGUCUGAAAUUUCUGUAUCUGAUGAACUGAGGUGCUGAAUCUUAACCAGAAGUUCAGGUUCUCCUCUAGCAGUGUAUCGAUGUUUGUCCGGAAGCGUUCUUCAGUCAUUGACAUGGGUUGAGCUUGAUCAAUUAGAAUUACCUUGAUAUCUUCUUCAUCAUCCUCUUUGUUUUCAGUUGGUUUUGGAGCCACAGCUGAAGUUUCUUCUUCGGUUCUUGCUUUGGGUUCAACAUUUUGAUCACCUGAUAGAGUAGAGGCUGGUUGGUGGUCUGAAUCUUUAGAUUUUCUCAAGUCCUUUUCUUCAUCCAGAUUUACCCGCAGAAGGCUUGAUUCCUGAUGUAAAGAUUGAAUGUCUUCAUCCUUCUUGGCAUUGGCACUCUCCAAUUCUUUUACCUGCACUGUUGUUUUCUUCUCUACUUCACUGAGCUUCUGCUUGACUUCUUUGUAAUUUUUAAG